CCAGUGCCUGUUACAUUUGGUAGCAUUUAGUGAUAGUGACUAGCUGGGAUUGCUGUUGACACUCUAUGCUUUAGGUUUUAUUCUCAAUCUCAAUCAGUUAUUUUAUUGUUGUUUUAGAAGUUAUAUGUUUCGUACUCAUUAUGUUUGGACCACUGGAUCACACACAUGCUAUCAGCCUUGACUUGAGUUCCGUUGACAUGUUGGUGAUGUGUAUUAUUAGGGUAUAAUAUGAUAUGUUUUAUUGGGGACCAAGAACCACUAUUGUAUCUGUUAGUGUUCUAACCUUAACUAGGGAUGGCUCUCUAUCACUUUUUCAUGUCCAAUACCAAUACCACAGCUUUGAGUAUCUACCAAUACUUUUGAUGUCGUUGAUACAUUUUCAUAGGAGUCAUUCAUGUAGUUUUACCAAACUUGAAACGCUGAAUCCUAACCACGACUGUGUCAUAUCAGUUUCUUAAGUCUUCAUUUUCAUCAGUGUUUUUGCCGUUAAUGUGCUUGGCCCUUUAACCACCACUUCCAUCUGUAUUUGAUAUUGUAUUUGUGUUUACAUUUGUUUGGUUUGCUUGUUUUGUCUCUGUAUCAAGUGCAAUGUUAAAUUUACAAAUUCAGUACAACAUAGUUAUAAUAUAUGCAAUUAAUUGCAGAUUAAUGUCAGUGUAGUUUUUGAAACAUUACAGCGAUGAAGAAAAAUGCACUUGCUGUACCUGCACUGACUGACAUGCUCACACAAACUGCAUGCACGGAAAGCAGACUUUCAGACACAAUCAAGAAUUCAGUGCUCUUUAACAGCUUUUUGCAUUUCAUUGGUCAUAUAUAUAUAUAUAUAUAUAUUUAGCUAAAAUACAUUGAUUGCAACCACUUGUUUUUUUUUUAGUAAAUUCAAUGAAUCAUUUUUUUUUUCAGUGUAUUUGGGGGGUAAAAGCAAACAAACCAAAAAACUGAUUUCAAAGAGUUAAAACACAGGUUAUGCACAAAUUUAAAACGCAGUUUAUUUAAAUUUAGCUAAAAUACAUUGAUUGCAACCACUUAUUUUUUUUUUAGUAAAUUCAAUUAAUCUUUUUUUUUUUCAGUGUAUUUGGGGGUAAAAGCAAACAAACCAAAAAAAACAGAUUUCAAAGAGUUAAAACACAGGUUAUGCAGUGUUUGGUUUACAUUUGAUUAUAUAUAUUUUUUAUUUUUUUAUUUUUAUUUCUGUAUUUCGUACAAAUAACUACUUACCCAUCUUGAAGUAUCAUGAAGUAACAUAUCAUGAAGUAAGUUGGUCAUGUUGCAUACCAGUAGUAGUAUUGAACACACAAGUAAUUUUAUCUGUGUUUAUUUUGUGUUAUCUUUGAAGUGUUCAUUUUUGUAACAAUAUGCUAAAACAUUAAAAUAAAUAUAUAUAUAUAUAUAAAAUUCUGUGGUGUUCUCAAUCCAGAUCUGCGCAAACUGAUAUAUUUUAACAUUAAAUGAAAAGGUGUUAUUGUUACAUGCAUUUGGAGGUUUUCUCACUGGUUACCUAUCCUGCAGAAAAUACCUAUUGACUGUAUAAAGCCAACAAAUAUGAAUUUCAGAAAUUUUAUAAGAUUUUAUAAUUGACAAGAAACAGUCUUUUUCUUUGUGAUAAUGUGUGUCAUGUAUAUUAUUAGUAACAUUAUGUGUAAGGUACAUUAUUUGUUGCUGUACUGUAACAUUUUAGACAUAUUGAUAGUACCUACUGGUGGGAUCCCCAAAUUGCAAAUGCACAGAUUUUCUCACAACUCCUUAUUUGAACAUGUGGUAAGUGAUAUUGUGAUUUUGGCUAAAUUAUAUACAUAAGUGCAAAUUCCUUCAAACCACUGCAAUAUCGUUCUAUUCCCAAAUUAAUUGGUGUUUUACAGAUCAUUAAAAUGUAUGCAAAACAAAAGGCUCUUAUGUCAUACUUUGUUUGUUUGUCUUGUAGUUUAAAUGUAAAAAUUUUGAUAACCUUUAAAUAUACCUUUAAAAUACAACUGACUCCAACCUGACCCCAUAUGAUGUCAAUUUAACUAGAAAAAGGGAUGAAUAAAUAAAAGUGCUGUGUGAGCAUAUGUUCAUCUCUGACUUCCCCUCUGGUCUGUGUGGUCGAUUUUCAUCUAAAGCUCAGUAGUGUUUCCGCUCACAGUACGAGAUGUUUGAAUGAUGACAGUAUAGAAGAUAUUCAUCUGGAUCAGACGAUGAGGAUCAUACAGCUUCACAUCUAUCUGUUGAUGUGGUCUCAAGCCACAGAGAGUGUAACAAACACAGCAGUAACUUUAGGAGCUGAUGUGAAUAUAAGCUGUGAUCUUGAUAUAGAGGAGAUUUACUGGUACAGACACAAAUCACCAGAUCCUCCAGUGCUUAUCUUACGCACGUAUGAUAGCACGUAUGAAAAAGCUAAAUAUGAAAACAGCAUCUUUGAAGACAAAUACUCGGUGAAAACUAACAGUUGGCUGUUCAUCAGAAAUAUCAGCACUGAUGAAUUAGGAGUUUAUUAUUGUGUCAAAACUAGUGAACCACAAAAAUUCAGCAACGGCACCAAAAUCUACAUCAGCGAUUCAGUCCAUGGGAAUCAGACAGAAUCAUGUGAUGAUCCACAACCGGCGAUACCGUGGAGAAACUUGACCAUCACAUCUGCCCUGUUCAAUGUGCUUUUGAUCAUCGCACUGAUAGGUUUGGGAAACCGCUACCUUCAGUCAAGAAGACUUAAAAAUAUAUCAGAGAACCCUCAAAGUACUACAGCAGCUCAAUACUCAGUUGAUUCACAGUAUGCUGCAGUUGAUUUUUCCAUGCAGCCCAGUGAAAACAGGCCUUGCCAGGAGCAGCAGAGCAUCUACUCUCUUCUACAGCCAAUAAAAAUUUCCUGUGGUGGACCUUUCCACAGCAUGUACAAGGCUUCAGUCCAGCACUUCUGCACUUCUACAUCUGCUGAAAUCAACAACGCUAAACCAUAACUGACCUUAAUGAACAAUUACAGGUACUCGCCAGAAAUGACUGCUGCUAUUAUUGUGCAUUUAAUACAUAUAGAUUUGAUUUCAGCUUGAUUAAAAAUGUUGGGUUUUCAGACAGAUGUUGUAUGUACAGCUGGGCUGAAAUCCAAACAAUACAAUCCCAAAACAUAGCUUUUUGAAAAAAAAAAGCACCUCAAAAGUAUAGUGUCAAAUGUCCUUUUUGAAAAUGUUUAUUCAUUUCAAAUCAGGUGACGUAACAAACCACAGUGUUUCGCUAACUUUCUUCACUUAGCUUACAGCAACAUAGCAUGGUCUCAAGCUACAUCUGCACUGCUUUGCUCACCUGUGGCUAACACCUCUUUUAUUGCGGAUUCAGUUUUGUGGGCCGUCGCGCGCCCCCUGGAGGAACACCGGAGGAACACAGGAAACUGUUACAUUUCCCGCCCAACGAUUUGUGGG